rnacentral:rRNA from 1 species
AACAAGGUCUCCGUUGGUGAACCAGCGGAGGGAUCAUUAUCGAGUUAUCCAACUCCCAAACCCUAUGUGAACUUACCACUUGUUGCUUCGGCGCGCGCUUCGGCGCCGCCGAGGACACUUAAACUCUUUGUUUUUAUAAGCAUUUCUGAGUGGCCGAAAGGCAAAAAUACAAAUGAAUCAAAACUUUCAACAACGGAUCUCUUGGUUCUGGCAUCGAUGAAGAACGCAGCGAAAUGCGAUAAGUAAUGUGAAUUGCAGAAUUCAGUGAAUCAUCGAAUCUUUGAACGCACAUUGCGCCCGCCAGCAUUCUGGCGGGCAUGCCUGUUCGAGCGUCAUUUCAACCCUCGAGCCCGACUCUUUUGAGGACGGCUCGGCGUUGGGGGACGGCAGACUCCCCCCGGCAUCUCGCCGGGGACGCCGCCCCCGAAAUCUAGUGGCGGCCCUCCGAGGCGACCUCUGCGUAGUAACUUGUUCUCGCACCGGAAAGCUCAGAGCGGCCACGCCGUAAAACCCCAACUUUUUUCAGGUUGACCUCGAAUCAGGUAGGACUACCCGCUGAACUUAAGCAUAUC